ACACACACACACACACACACACACACACACACUGACCUGAUGUUGGAGUACUGGUCACUUUAUUCCUCCACUGGGUGAACUGUUAACCUCCUCCACACCAAAUCCUGUAAAUCCUACUGUACCAGCUCGACGGCUCGCUGUUGAACAGACGUCACCUGAAAACACUGUCAGGGGACAGAAAAGGGACAGUAGAGGCAGAAGAUUUCAAGUUGGUUGAGGUUCAGGCGUCAAACUUCACAGUGAAGAAGGGCAGAGAUACAUUUGUUACCUGAUACCAAUAGAUCUCCAGUCUUUCACUUGCUGUGAAAUAGCGCUGUAAUUUGAGAAGGGGUGUCGGAUUGACAUGUAAUUGAGGAAGUUUUGAUUGUUGCCAUUUCAGAGCAUUUUUUGUGUGUAACUAUGUACUGAAAGAACACAAACAGGCUUCAUAAAAGACCAUCGUUUUGAACUUGUGAAAUGCUUUUAGUUCGCUAAUACUGUAAUGCCAACUCUGCCAGUUCUGGACUGACUGCACCUCCAGUGUCCAGUUGUCUCUGCUUUAAAGACGCUAUUUGUAGGAUUUAAAAACUGUAAAUUUGUCCCCCCAGUGGCAGUAUUGGAAAAAUACAGCAUGGUAUGUUGCUUCCUCUCCACCCUCUUGGAUCCAACCGGGGAACAUUGAGCUGAAUGGAUGGAUAGCAACCCGUUGUUUUCUGUAAGCACACACAGUUGAUGUGUGUCAAUGACGCGUUGUGGUCAGUGUGUACUACACGUUAGAUUGUACCAAUUUCUGCAGAGAUUUUCUCAUUUUUCUACAAAACAAAAACUCAUCAUAAACACUCUACACAGUAGCCUUGUUUCCAUUCACAUGGUUUUAUGUGCAUGGUAAAGUACUGCAGUAGAGAAGCUGUAUGGAAACGGCAAAUUCGGUAAAACUUACUCAUUUGAGAAAAAAAACGAUUUAAUGCUCAGUUGAGGUGGUUUUUGCCUUUAUCGAAAAAAGAGUUGAUGCGCCAAGUGGAUUAUAGAAACACCUAUGCUGAAUAAAUUCUGACGUAGUGAACAUUUAACUCACAUGACUGAUCAGCUGUUUCUGCUGUCGGCGUCUACUCAGAUAUUCCCAUAAUGUUCGAAAGCUGGUCUUCAUCUCAGGACAACAUGAAACAUGACCAACACUAGCUGACAUGAAAGAACUAUUAAAACAAAUUCCUGAAGACAUAUCUCCAUUUUUCUCUCGUAGAUGGUUUGAUGGCCAAGCCGACUUGUUGUGUUUGCGGUUUGCUACCUCUUCUUCUUCUACUCUGUUUACUUGCGGAUUAAAGCCAUGCUAGCCUAUAGCGCCAACUUCUGACCAAACUACGCUGUGGCUGACAAGCCGAGUUUAUUCGCACCAAAUCAGUUGAUGGAAACCAUGGAUGUAUUAAGAGAACUGGAUACAGCGUUGUAGGCGGGCUCCCGUUCAUUCCUAUCAGAGUUGCUCAGUAGCUCAUGAAGUCAAAAUGACUCGACUGCCGAGUGAAGAAGAACCCGGAUCAUCCGGCGAUCUUCUGCAUUCAUUGGGCCCAUAGAGCAGGCGCCUACUAGCGCUCAGUCCAGCCUCGAUCUGGGUCUCAUUCACAUGUAGGGACCUUCCUCCAUUCAUACUGGGGAGUUGAUUUACCUAAAAAAAACUAUCCUCUGAUUUACAGAUGUCUCUUUCCCAAUAUAGGUCUAUGGGGAAAAAGUCAUUUUUGGGCCCAAUGGCAUCACGUGACCGACACGGGAGUUGUAGCACCGCCGUUUGGCCACUACUUCAAAGCCCUGCGCUCUUCCUGGGUGCCUGAUGGAAACACGCCUAAUUCACAUUAGUUUUCUUGCAACAUUUCAAAAGGUCGCUUAAAACGAUCUUGACAGUUGAAUGGAAACACAGCGAGUGUUGUUUGAACAGGGGAUGCUUCGGUCAUGUGUUAAGAACUGACAGUUACACAUUUUCAAUUUUACAAAUUCAGUUAAUAUCUUUUUCAAUUCUUCUUUUUAAUAAACCAAAUUUAGAUUUAAAUUUGUUUAUGUCAAAACAUCUCAUUAUCAUAUUUUUUCACCCUCAAAUAUUGAUAUCGGUAUCCGCGUCAAAAAUCCAGUAUUGGUUGGGCUCACUUCAUUUUUUUGUUCUCUAAAUAUCUUCCCUACUGCAGCUUUGAACAGGAAUGUGUUGCUCAUAUGUUCUCGGACAGUUCAUGUCUGUAACAAGCAGCUGAUUCUUCAAACUGCAGUAUGAACAACAGACCGACUCUUAACAUCAUCCAGAGAUAUCUUCUGGACAGAUUUAAAUGAACAGAUUGAACUUGAACAUUUUAGCAGUCUGUCAUAACAAACAAAUAAUAAUUACAAAUACUAUUUAACUUUUCCUAACUUUUAUUAUGAAUCUUUGAUUUGAUGGUUUAUUCCAUUUGGAGCCAACAUGUCCGACUGAACUGCCCCAGAUAUGAAAAACACACUGUUCAUAAACUCGGUGUCCAGGAAGUCAUUACUGUAAACUUUACUCAUGUACCCUGAAAGAUUCAAGAUUCAUCAGUGUUGUAUUAUUGUGAAGAAAUAUUUCAGGAAUUGUUAAAUUUCCUUAUGAGCCGUCUACUUCCUGUUCUCAUAUUUUCCACUGACUGUAUAUAAGCUCUUUGUUUCCUGUUGUCCUUUCCAAACUGUUCACCUUGGAGCCUUUUCUUUAUUUGUUGUAUUUAUUUGUGUUGACUUGAUUUUAAUUUGUUUGUUUCGGAUUGAUUUUUCAAAAGCUGUCUUUUGGGAUGGAUGUGAAGUAGACAUACAGCUUGAUUUAGACAUUUCCUUGCAUUUCAAAAGUUUUGGUUUCUUGACAAAAAUAAACAUCAGAGUUCCUA